UUCAGUGUUCUGAACCUGUAUUUUACAUUUUCAGAAAAGUUGACCACAGAAGCAUGUUUAUAUUGUAUUAAAACAAACUAUUUUUCUGGAAAGUUUUCCCAUUAAGCGUCUAACCUCCAAGCAUCGAAUCCCAGGCCAAUUUGUGUGAGUAUAAGUCAUUGAUAUGGUUCUACUGUGAACCCACCUAAAUCUCAUCUUGAACUGUACCUCCUACAAUUUCCACAUGUCAUGGGAGGGCCCCGGUGGAAGGUAACUGAACAAUGGGAGCAGGUCUUUCCCAUGCUCUUCUGGUGAUACUGUCAUGAGAUCUGAUG
rnacentral:lncRNA from 10 species